rnacentral:rRNA from 1 species
ACGACGCUGGCGGCGUGCUUAACACAUGCAAGUCGAGCGAUGAAGCUCCUUUGGGAGUGGAUUAGCGGCGGACGGGUGAGUAACACGUGGGUAACCUGCCUCAUAGAGGGGAAUAGCCUUUCGAAAGGAAGAUUAAUACCGCAUAAGAUUGUAGUACCGCAUGGUACAGCAAUUAAAGGAGUAAUCCGCUAUGAGAUGGACCCGCGUCGCAUUAGCUAGUUGGUGAGGUAACGGCUCACCAAGGCGACGAUGCGUAGCCGACCUGAGAGGGUGAUCGGCCACAUUGGGACUGAGACACGGCCCAGACUCCUACGGGAGGCAGCAGUGGGGAAUAUUGCACAAUGGGGGAAACCCUGAAUGCAGCAACGCCGCGUGAGUGAUGACGGCCUUCGGGUUGUAAAACUCUGUCUUUGGGGACGAUAAUGACGGUACCCAAGGAGGAAGCCACGGCUAACUACGUGCCAGCAGCUGC